rnacentral:rRNA from 1 species
GAGAGUGGGUUAGUCCGCACGAGCGCACCCUACCUUAUUGCCAUCGGGUUAUGCCGGGCACUUUAGGGGGACUGCCGGUGACAAGCCGGAGGAGGGUGGGGAUGACGUCAAGUCCUCAUGGCCUUUAUGACCAGGGCUACACACGUGUUACAAUGGGAGUUACAGAGGGAAGCUAAACCGCGAGGUCAUGCCAAUCCCAGAAAAACUUUCUCAGUUCGGAUCGCAGUCUGCAACUCGACCGCGUGAAGCUGGAAUCGCUAGUAAUCGCGGAUCAGCACGCCGCGGUGAAUACGUUCCCGGGCCUUGUACACACCGCCCGUCACACCAUGGGAGCCGACAAGGGCAGAAGUCGCCGAGCUAACCUUCGGGAAGCAGGCGCCCAAGCUGUUGUUGACGACUGGGGUGAAGUCGUAACAAGGUAGCCGUAGGAGAACCUGCGGCUGGAUCACCUCCUUUCU